GAUGAACGCUGGCGGCGUGCUUAACACAUGCAAGUCGAACGGAAAGGCCCAAGCUUGCUUGGGUACUCGAGUGGCGAACGGGUGAGUAACACGUGGGUGAUCUGCCCUGCACUUCGGGAUAAGCCUAGGAAACUGGGUCUAAUACCGGAUAGGACGAUGGUUUGGAUGCCAUUGUGGAAAGUUUUUUCGGUGUGGGAUGAGCUCGCGGCCUAUCAGCUUGUUGGUGGGGUAAUGGCCUACCAAGGCGUCGACGGGUAGCCGGCCUGAGAGGGUGUACGGCCACAUUGGGACUGAGAUACGGCCCAGACUCCUACGGGAGGCAGCAGUGGGGAAUAUUGCACAAUGGGCGCAAGCCUGAUGCAGCGACGCCGCGUGGGGGAUGACGGCCUUCGGGUUGUAAACUCCUUUCGCUAGGGACGAAGCGUUUUUGUGACGGUACCUGGAGAAGAAGCACCGGCUAACUACGUG
rnacentral:rRNA from 1 species